GUACACCUCCUCUGUUCUUCCUUCCUGUCUCACCACAGACCCACAAGUCCCAGUCACACACAUUUAUUUUAAGCUUGGAGUCUGUAUUUGUGGUUUUUAGAGGCCAUCAAUCCACAUCAUCAUCAUCAUCAUCAUCAUCAUCAUCAUCAUCAUCAUCAUCAUAAAGAAAUAGAUUCAAGAAGAGUCACAACAGAAAGAAAAUUUUAUUUAAGAUCAGCUUUUUUAAAGGAAAUUUAUUUAUUUGCCACUAAACAUCUCAA